ACGUACACUCCUGCGGGAGGCAGCAGUGAGGAAUAUUGGACAAUGGGUGGAAGCCUGAUCCAGCCAUCCCGCGUGCAGGAAGACGGCCCUAUGGGUUGUAAACUGCUUUUAUCUGGGGAUAAACCUACUUACGUGUAAGUAGCUGAAGGUACCAGAAGAAUAAGCACCGGCUAACUCCGUGCCAGCAGCCGCGGUAAUACGGAGGGUGCAAGCGUUAUCCGGAUUUAUUGGGUUUAAAGGGUCCGUAGGCGGACUGAUAAGUCAGUGGUGAAAUCCGACAGCUUAACUGUCGAACUGCCAUUGAUACUGUUAGUCUUGAGUAAGGUUGAAGUGGCUGGAAUAAGUAGUGUAGCGGUGAAAUGCAUAGAUAUUACUUAGAACACCAAUUGCGAAGGCAGGUCACUAAGUCUUAACUGACGCUGAUGGACGAAAGCGUGGGGAGCGAACAGGAUUAGAAACCCUGGUAGUCCC
rnacentral:rRNA from 1 species